rnacentral:rRNA from 1 species
UACGUAGGGGGCAAGCGUUGUCCGGAUUUAUUGGGCGUAAAGAGCGUGUAGGCGGCCAGACAGGUCCGCUGUGAAAACUCGAGGCUCAACCUCGAGAUGUCGGUGGAAACCGUCUGGCUAGAGUCCGGAAGAGGAGAGUGGAAUUCCCGGUGUAGCGGUGAAAUGCGCAGAUAUCGGGAAGAACACCCGUGGCGAAGGCGGCUCUCGUGGGACGGUACUGACGCUGAGACGCGGAAAGCGUGGGGAGCGAACAGG